GUGAAUCAUCAAAUUUUUGAACGCAAAUUGCACUCUCUUCGGAGAGUAUGCCUGUUUGGGGGUCAGCCUAAAAAAAAAUCGACAUAGUCGCUGUUUCGCGUUGACGUUCGGCGGAAAUUGGGUCAUAUUAAACUUUUGGGUUUUAAGCGGCUUAAAAUUUUCUUUUCGAUUCCACGAACGUUUCUAAGAUUGACUCUUUACACAUUUAAGGUAUUCGAUCUUUAUUAGACAUGG
rnacentral:misc_RNA from 1 species